rnacentral:tRNA from 1 species
CGGAGCGUGGCGUAGUCCGGUAGCGCACUGCAAUGGGGUUGCAGAGGUCGCAGGUUCAAAUCCUGUCGCUCCGACUA